GCUGCAGCUCCAAGAAAGCAUCCGCAGCCUUGUAGGGCUGGGGGAGUCAAGCCCUCUGGGUGCGUGGGGGGCUCACCCAGUAAAAAGUGGCUGAGGAACGCUGGGAAGCUGCUCAUCUGAACACAGGGUGAAAAGCAGGGUCGUGCUGGCAGCAGGGAAGCACUUGUUGCAGUGGCGUUUGGGUGUAUCGGUGGUUGGGUGCUGGUGUAACCGAUCCCUGGUGGGAAGCGGAGGUCCUGCCAGGGCUGGUGGGGUGCUGUUCCUUGAACUGACGCACACGGAGCAGGAAACGGGUUUGUUGCUUCCCUGAACGUCUCUUUGCAGCGGAAGUCCUGCUCCAGGCUGAGGAGCAGAAGCUCUAGCUCGCACCUUCAGCGUUAGGCUAGGCGGUGAAACCAAGCCCUGCUCACCUGCCCGUAACCCCUGCAGCAGAUCCCGGCGCUGCACGUCCUCGGCUUUCCCUCUGAAUGAUCCUUUGUGUAGCGCCGGGGCUCUGGAAGGCACGAGCUGCCCAAAGUCGAGCGGCACUUCCCUCUACGCAGCUGAGAGCAGGCUGAGGUUUUAACACAGAGCUUUGUGUCCCCGCUGCCUUCCCCCCGGGCUCCCAGCAGCUGUCUGACGCAGCUUUUGGCUUUGACUUUUUCCAUUGCUGGGCUCCGCAUUUGUCUCCAGUUUCCACCACGUGCAGGUGUCCUGCAUUACGCCUCGGAGCGUUAACUGUGGCUGCGCUGGGGAGGCUGGCAGCGUCCCCAGGACGCCUGCUCAGUUUCAGCAAGAGCGUGGAGCUGUUUGGAAACAUCUGGAUCCGGGGCGCCGAGUGGAAGGUGUGGCCUUGCGAAAGCAGAGGUUUAUGACACUGAAGGGGCUCCUCUUUGGUAGCUGUGCUCCGUGUGUGUAGCUGUGAGUCUUUAGCUGGGAUUCACUUCUCUUCGCGGAGUAAAGCAGCUGGAGGAGCGUUUUUGUGGGAGAUUUGUGCUGAAACGUGGAAGUCUCCUUGAUCUCGCACUCGGUCCCUGCCUGGUAAACCCUGAGGAGACGGCUGGCACUCGCUGAAGGAAGCGGGGCUGUGCCGUCCCUGCCCACCCGGGGGUUCCCGGCUUUGUUCUAUUUAUUGAGCAGCGACUCCGACACCCUUUGCCAGGCUGUGACUCACGGCAGCAACGCCUGUGCAUGAGGCAUGCCUCUCAGAGCCCCCUACAGAUACGGAGCUGCAGGAUCCUCGCAGGAGCCGGCCGUGGUUGUGUUUCCUCCCUCGAGGCAGCAGCUAGCUGAGGCUGAGCAGUGACUCAGUACCGGUGAGAUAAAUAACGGCCCACCCCCGGUCAGCGGCUCCAACAGCCCUUCUGCGAGCGACCCCAGGCACUGCGCUUACCCGAGGUGUUGGUGCCGAGCAGGGGCCGCGAGGGAAGGGCCGCGGGCAGGGCAGGGCAGGGCAGGCGGUGGCAUCACCCAGCGCCGUGCUGGGCCGGGUUUCCCCUGCACAGCUAAAUCCCGCUGCAGGGAGGGGAGCAGAGGACGGGGAUGGCCGUAAAGCAGAAGGCCCCAUCCGGACCGUCUCAAACACGGCAGGUCCACGUCGACCCGUACAGAUUGCCCUGGGCGGCAUCCAGAUGUAUCUUUUGGCUUUUGAGCCUCUGGCUUCCUUCUUUCCGGCCUCUCCUCUGAGACCUGCUCUGUGCUUCGGGCACGGCCCUGCCGGGCCUGAUGCCGUCCUGUCCCUUCCCCUGCCUGCAGCCCGAGCAGGGACAGGCCCAGGCUCCGAUGCUGAGCAGGAUUUGGCCCUGGGUUAAGCCCGAGGGACAGUUUCAUCUGGCCCUGGCGUGGCUCCUUUUCCCUUGCCUGUGGAAGCGGGCUGUUUUAGUGGCCUCAGGGGAACGGCCUGGCCCUGCUGGGCGGGCAGAGGGGUUUAUAGGAGAGGUGCAAGCACCCCGUGCAACACCCCCCUGCAUUUCAACAUGUGCGCGGCCUUUCCUUUCGCCUCCUUCCAGCCCGGCUGUGAAUGGAGCGCUUUAAGUGGGAGGAGAUUGCUGGGAGCGCUUCUGCCCCCUUGCAUUGGUUACAGCCCAUAAAAACAUGCCAGGAAUUUGCCACAGCAGUCCCUCGCACUCCUGCAGAACCUGUGAAAGCAGCCUUUGUUCCCCGAGCUGCUCGGGCACCUCCGACCUGCACGUGUGGGACGGGGCGGGGGUCUGCGGAGCUGCUCGGGUGCUGCCGUGGGGAUGGAGGCACUGAGCCAGGCCCUGGGCAAAGCGUUCCCCGUUGUCCUACCCCAGCGUGGGGCAAGCGGUGCUGAGCGCUGCCAGGACGCAGCAGAAGGACGGGCAGAGUUUAAUGCCUCACAGCACGCCCCGCGCGAGCAGAGCUUUAGCCCUGUGCUGCUUAAGCUGAGUCAGAGGAACGGAAAUCCCGUCUUACACAGGCGUUUUUCCAUGAGCAAGAGGUUAAGCGUUCCGUUCCAGGCUUGGGGCUGGAUCUCGUGCCCACCUCGCAGAGCUCCCAAGGGGCUGUGUCAAGCAUCACGGCCUACUGGGGGCCGACAAGGGGCUGGGAGCAGGAGGGAUGCGGGGUGGGAUGCACAGGUGGGGUGCGUGGGCAGGAUGCACAGGUGGGACGUGCAGGUGGGACGCACGGGUGGGAUGCGUGGGCAGGAUGUGCCCCCGCCGCAGCCUGCACACAGUGGCUGGCACCCAGCCCAGAGCGCAGCUCUGGGAAUGUAUAAGUGCCUGUUUUGUUUUUGAGGGAAGCCCAAAAUGCUUCGGCGAGGACAAAACCUCUUCCUCGAUCCGCUUUCAAAGGUCUCGUUUUCUCUAAGGGACCAAACUGACCUGGCAGGGAGCGACUGACCGGGUCCAUCAGCCAGCUUGGAGGGGGCAAAUCUGGAGCUGCAGAGGCUCCCCCUGAAACGGCGGCUGGCCGGGCUGAGAUCUGGCACCCACCCGGCCCCCUCCAGCAGUGUCCCCAGGUGCUGGUGGCCCCGGUGACUUGCACGGCACAGAAGAGCCCGGCGUGACUCAGCAAGCGCCGGGUGCCAGGCCAGGGCUUUGGCGCUGUGACCGUCCCCCAGCAACGCCGACACCUGCAAUUCCGGCAGAGCCUGGGCUGGCUUAAGGCACCGUGUUACUUAAAUAUUUUAUAGAAAAUCAUUAAGCAAUUAAAUCUGGCAGUUCUCUCAUCGUAUGAAAA